rnacentral:lncRNA from 1 species
CAAUCUUUUUUUUUACUAGCUUUAUAUUUCCAAACCAAUUUCUAAAUAUGACAUGUAGCAUUUUAAGUAUUACAUAUUAUAUUUAGCAGAUUACAUUUAGCAUAAUAUUAAUUUUCAACAUUAUACCUCCCAACCCCCACCUUACCCCAGACAGGGGAGGAAGGAAGCACUCCCAUUGGGCUGCUGGGCUAUGGGGUGAGUGAUGUGAGGAAUGUCCUCAGGUGAAUGGAGAGGGGCAGGGGAGUCUGGCUUUCUAAUAAUGAACUCUAGGGGGUGACUGCAGGCAUGUUCACAGAGAGGGCCCUGCAUGCCAUUUUUGGCACAAGUGCCAUAGAUUUGCCAUCAUUGGCUUAGGGAGACCAGGGAAGAAGGAUUCCGAGUUGGACUACCCUUAGAGUCUUACCUACAAUGGGAGAAACUUCUAAGGCAAAAGGGAAACAGACAGAGCAUUUACUAAAUGCAUACUCUGUGCCAACCACUGUGUCGUGUGCUGAGAAUACAAAAAAAGAAAUAAAACAAGGCAGUCCAUACUUUCAAGAAUUUUACAUUCUAAUAGGGGAAGAGAAGACACAAAGGGAGGAAACUAAACAUCACCUAUUAUUAUCCCAAAUAGAAGAUGAAGAAACUGAGGUAAAGAGAGAUUAAAUGAAUUGCUUCAAGAAACUGGGCAAAUCAGAGGUUGUGCCCCAGCUCCUGCCUCCCAGGACUGGUCCUCUGGCCUUUGAGACCACACUGACCACAAGCAUUCAUUCCAGCCUCACCUUCGGAGCUGCCUCACCAUCAGUGAGAUAAGCAUCUGUCAUCCCAGAUGAUGCCUAGUCAUGCUUAAUGCAAAACCUCAAACUAAAGCCUUUUAUCAAUCUAUGUCAGUGUGUCUCUAACUGGGGAUCUUGGGCACGUUGCCAAAGGGUUGUACCGACCGAAUGCUUUUUUCCUGACCUCCCCAGAGUAGUAGGAAUAAUCAUGAUGGAUCAGGCUGGCUGGCUGCUUCACCAUGGGUCUCAUGGAGCUGCUGCAUCUUCCAGGGGGUCCCUGUGGCUCUGGGGUCUCGUCACCACCUUGAAGAGGACCAAUGACGUCACCGUGCUAAGAAUGGGGACAAAAAAAGACCAUGAAAAGGACAUCUGACAUCCCUUCUGACCCCAAAUCUGUGAUCCUAUAACUGUGUCACUUUUGUGUUUAUAUCCUCAGUGCCCAGUGUAAUGCCUGGCAUGGAAUGAAUGCAGAAUAAAUGCUUAUUGAUUGGUUAACUGUUUCCA